rnacentral:rRNA from 2 species
GUCACACCCGUUCCCAUACCGAACACGGAAGUUAAGCUCUUCAGCGCCGAUGGUAGUCGGGGGUUUCCCCCUGUGAGAGUAGGACGCCGCCAAGC